GGUGGCUCAGUGGGAGAGUACUUGUCUUGCAUGCAUGAGGCCCUAGGUUCGAUUCCUCAGCACCA
rnacentral:tRNA from 1 species